rnacentral:rRNA from 1 species
UACGUAGGGCGCAAGCGUUGUCCGGAAUUAUUGGGCGUAAAGAGCUCGUAGGCGGCCUGUCGCGUCUGCUGUGAAAUCCCGGGGCUUAACCCCGGGCGUGCAGUGGAUACGGGCUGGCUGGAGGCAGGCAGGGGAGAACGGAAUUCCCGGUGUAGCGGUGAAAUGCGCAGAUAUCGGGAGGAACACCGGUGGCGAAGGCGGCAUCCUGGACCGGUAUUGACGCUGAGGCGCGAAAGCCAGGGGAGCAAACGGG